rnacentral:rRNA from 1 species
CCACAGAACCAAAAUAUCUUAAAGGCUUCAGAUGCUGUCUGAUCUUGAAAGUUAAGCAGGAACAUCCUAGGUUAGUAUUUGAAUGGGAGACCACCAACAAAUAGCUGGUGCUAUAUUUC